rnacentral:tRNA from 1 species
GGGGCAGUGGUGGAAUCGGUAGACACAUCAGACUUAAAAUCUGAAGAACAUAGUUCGUGCGAGUUCAAGUCUCGCUUGCCCUA